rnacentral:rRNA from 1 species
GACGAACGCUGGCGGCGUGCUUAACACAUGCAAGUCGAACGGAAAGGCCCUGCUUUUGUGGGGUGCUCGAGGGGCGAACGGGUGAGUAACACGUGAGUAACCUGCCCUUGACUUUGGGAUAAAUUCAGGAAACUGGGGCUAAUAACGGAUAGGAGCUCCUGCUGCAUGGUGGGGGUUGGAAAGUUUCGGCGGUUGGGGAUGGACUCGCGGCUUAUCAGCUUGUUGGUGGGGUAGUGGCUUACCAAGGCUUUGACGGGUAGCCGGCCUGAGAGGGUGACCGGCCACAUUGGGACUGAGAUACGGCCCAGACUCCUACGGGAGGCAGCAGUGGGGAAUAUUGCACAAUGGGCGGAAGCCUGAUGCAGCAACGCCGCGUGCGGGAUGACGGCCUUCGGGUUGUAAACCGCUUUCGCCUGUGACGAAGCGUGAGUGACGGUAAUGGGUAAAGAAGCACCGGCUAACUACGUG